UACCAUCUUGUUCUAGGGAAAUUAUUUUUAGAGCCCAAUCUAAUUCCUUCUCUGAAAUUGCGAUGCGGACCGCUUCUUUUCUUCGCAAAUUCGAGGAAUUGUUGGACGAGCUAUCUGUGAUCUGCUUGCUUAUUACUUGAAUAUGUGAAUUUUCAAUAGUGACUUUCUUUGUCGGAGUUAUUCCAUGAAAAUAAUUGUUAAGUUUUUGUUGAAGCAAUCAAUGUUAAGUUUUGUAUUUCGUUCUGGAAUCAAUGUUAUUCAAAUUUUUGUUGAAGCAAUCUUGAAAAAAUUUAUCUUUGAUUUUACCUGUAAUUUGAAUAUGCACUAUCAAAGAGCAGGCAUGAAACAAUUGAGCUACAUUAGUUGAUUUAACACCUUAUACCUUUUUUUAUUUUCCUAUUGGAAAAAUUGACACACUUAUGUAUUCAAUGAAAUGUUAAGUUUUGUAUUUCGUAAAGUAUCAAAAUAAUCAAUGUAAUGUCUUUUCUCAGGCAAACAUGAUCAAGAGGACUGGAACUACUGUAGUUGCCACAAAUAAAAAGAAAACUUUUAAGGAAAUUGAGGUCAAGUAUCGACUUCAACAUGCCCGACUUUUGGAUUGAUGAUUUCAUAAAGAUUUAUUGCAAAUUUACUAGAGAUUUUAAUUUCAUUUGAAUUAGGAGUUAAUUAGUUGAUUUUAUGUUGAGAUUAUUGCAUUUAGUUAGAUCUCAAUUUUACUUGAGAUAGAAAAGAUAAUUUGUUUUGACAUUGUUUACUUUUACAGAAAACUUAUUAUA